GACGAACGCUGGCGGCGUGCUUAAUACAUGCAAGUCGAACGGACAGGCCCUGCUCUUGCGGCGCUCUCGUUUGGCGCACGCGUGUGUAUCACGUGUGUAUCCUGCCCUUGUCUUUCGGAUAACUUUACGAAACUGCGGCUCUUACCGGAUAGGAUCUCCUGCUGCAUGGUGUGGGUUGGAAAGUUUCGGCGGUUGGGGCUCGACUCGCGGCUUAUCCGCUUGUUUGUGAGGUAGUGGCUUACCAAGGCUUCGACGGAUAGCCGGCCUGGGAGGGGGACCGGCGACAUGGGGACUGAGAUACGGCCCAGACUCCAACGGGAGGCAGCAGGGGAAAAUAUUGCACAAUGGGCGGAAGCCUGAGGCAGCAGCGCCGCGAGCGGGAUGACGUGCUUCGAGUGGAGAACCGCUGUCGAAUGUGACGAGGCGAGAGUGACGGUAAUGGGUAAAGAAGCACCGGCUAACUACGUG
rnacentral:rRNA from 1 species